CAUAAGGAAAGCAUUUGGCAUUAUUACUCGUGAAAACAAGAAAAAUAAUUUGCCAUUAUAAUUCAUGAAAAUAUUUUUAUACUAUGAAAGAGCUAGCAUUUUCAUAAAUCAAAACUGAUUCUGAAAUCUAACUAUGAUGACAUGUACAUAAAUAGGUGUAAAAUUAGCAGUUUAAUACUCUAUAUUCUAGCAAACAGCUAGCUCUCUUAAGUCAACAAUAGGCAAAGAUUACUACCAUGACAAUGUAACUACAUGAUGUUGAGCUAGUUCAAUUACAUUGGAGAAUCCAACACGUAAAGCUUCAAGAAUCUGUAAAAAAAAUAAUGAAAACUUUGAGAGUUAUGAUAUUUAUAUUAGCAGGAGCACAAAACUAAGAUGCAGUUGAGUAUACCUGCAAAGAUUAGAAAUAUCAUCAACAUAAGCCAAGUAAAUAAGGGUUCAGAAGGGAAGUAAAAAAAAUAAAGCCGUAUGGGUUACCUUUUAGUCAGUCUCUGAAUUAACAAACGACACCCUUUCACCCAAGACAAGAUCAAUGAUUAGCUACGUAGGUACUCAGCUAGUCUGCUAUGUCUGUUUAGUAAUUUAUAGUCAAAGCCAAUUGAUCAUUCGACUUAUGAGAUAUAACAAAUAAUUAGCUAAAUAGCUAUUGUACCAAAACCUGCGUAUGCACCAGCAGAAGCACCGAACUCUAGCUCAUCACCUCGAGUGUCUCGGCGCUCGACUUGAAUGACCAUGAAAACCAUUGUAUGGAUCGUGCACCUAUUUGAAUGAUCCAUCUAGAUUAGAUACAUCAGUGAUUUGGCUAUAAGGUGGUAGAAAGAAUGAUCUUCUGCAGAGAAGGCAUAUGUUCUUCACAAUCAAAGUACUAAUGGCGAAAACAGUGUAUUAACAGAGAAAGAUAAUCUGAUACUGCAACUAUGAUAAUUAAGAUUCUACAUUACAUCAAAUAUCAAUUAGUUCAUUAUUCAACACCGAGUACAGGAGUAAGAAAACUAUAGACCUAUUAAACAUGAUAUUGCAAUUUUUCCUUAUAGAUGGAACUCAAAAUCUUAUAAAAUGACUUCGAUAUGCAGUCUUAAUCUCUAUAUAAUAUUUGAUUACAACGAUAUAAUCAUGAAGAACAGUGGCUUUUAGGGCACAUAUUUUGAUCAUUCUAGCGGUAGUAUGAGAAGAAAAUAUUCCUUAAGAAGAACCUAGUACUAAUAUUAGAAGUAUAUUGGUAUCACACGCAUGAAGAAAAUAUCGAGCAUCACCUGGCUCAGAGCACUCAGCUAAUCUACAAUAAGUUCAGAAAUGAAUAUCCUUGGCAAAGGUCCAUAUAUACGAGUUCUGGUGUAUCCAUCAUUGUUGGGAAGGGAAAACCAUAAUGCUCUUAGUUUUUUCUGCUGGAAACCUUAGUUCUUCACGAGACUUGUAACCAAAACCAGUAAAAAAAUAUAUCAACAAUUGAGUUUAUACCAUAACCAUCAACCUGUAGUUAUAACAGACAGGAAAUUAUCAUCACAAUAAUCGACAUCACACAACUGUGCAUUAUUUAACACAGUGUUUGUAGCAAGCCAACUAAAUUUUAAACCCUAGCCACAUCGUUAAAUAGUAUGGAUUGCCAUUUCUCACAAGUAUCAAAAUCUAUGAAUACCAUUAUGACGAUUCCAAUAGGUACUAAUGUUUCAGUUUUAAAUUAUCCACAAAAAGAUUCUAGCAAAAAAUCAUAGGACAACCUAUAAGAAGCAGAAGAGUCUUUCUUGUAAGCGCAUGUUAAGCUCGUAUGGUCAUACCAAUCGCCCUGGCUUUCACACCUCUCAGACGCUUCACUUGGCUACACAUGUACUCAACACUUCCACUGGAGUGGCCUUCCUGUCCUCCUUGUAAUUUCAAAUCUCGGGUAUGAUGGUCUGUCCGCCAGCCUGCCACAUUCUUUGAUUUCCACCAAACAAUUCACUGCAGCCUUGUAGACCUCAUCACCCCAUUCAACAUGUAGCUCUAACAGAUCGAAAUCAAUCUCGUAAUCACACAAGUAGUAGUAAAAUCUCAGAAAUUAUCAUCUCCACGAAAUGACGAGGAACGCAGGCUAUGGUCUGUAAAAAACUUGAGGUUCAGUCAAGAUAGUGCAGAAGUACCUUAGGGAUAUUGA
rnacentral:lncRNA from 1 species